UGGGGAAUCUUGGACAAUGGGCGCAAGCCUGAUCCAGCCAUGCCGCGUGGAUGAUGAAGGCCUUAGGGUUGUAAAAUCCUUUCGCCGAGGACGAUAAUGACGGUACUCGGAGAAGAAGCUCCGGUUAACUUCGUGCCAGCAGCCGCGGUAAUACGAAGGGGGCUAGCGUUGUUCGGAUUUACUGGGCGUAAAGCGCGUGUAGGCGGGUCGUUAAGUUGGGGGUGAAAUCCCGAGGCUCAACCUCGGAACUGCCUUCAAAACUGGCGACCUGGACCUAAGUAGAGGCAAGUGGAAUUGCGAGUGUAGAGGUGAAAUUCGUAGAUAUUCGCAGGAACACCAGUGGCGAAGGCGACUUGCUGGACUUAUGGUGACGCUGAGACGCGAAAGCGUGGGGAGCAAACAGGAUUAGAUACCCCCGUAGUCCCUGAGCGGGCUGGCAAGGCGCAU
rnacentral:rRNA from 1 species